GAUGGUCUAGCUCAGUGGUAGAGCGCCUGCUUAGCAUGUAAGAAGUCCUGGGUUCAGUCCCCAGUACUUCCA
rnacentral:tRNA from 1 species